rnacentral:lncRNA from 1 species
AAAAAAAAGAAAAAAGAAAAAAAAGAAACAUCAUAGCCAUUGUACAUUAAGCAGAAUGACCAUGGUGGGCACUAGUGUGAUAUGCAAUGAGAGAAAUCACAGAGGUCAGAUGAUGCAGAGCUUUGAAGGCCAUUGCGAGAACAUUCUAAACAAGAUGGGAAGCUGACACAGGGUUGAUAGCAGAGGAGUAAUAAACCACAAUACGUUUUUACAUUUUAAAGGGUGCCUUCUGUGCUGUGUUGAGGACAGACUGUAGUGUGGAGAGUGCUGCAGCAGAGAGAGAACUCUUGGGAGGCUCUUACAAUCAUUUAAGCUAGAGACAAUAGACUAAGAGGGUCAGUAUUCCACAACGCACCUUCUGGAGCACACAGGUGCCUUGCCACACCAGUCGGGAACUUCUGCUCUGCAAAGUCCAAAGACUAAGCUAAAGUUUAGCCAUUCUCCACUAAGUCCUCCAUGGCCACCACGCAGCCACACCUUCAGACACCAAGACAAGUCCUCCUUCUCCGUGUCCCACAGUGCCUUGUCUCCUGAGAUGACAAGCUCCUUGGCACCAGAGAUGGUAUCUUUCUCAUCUUUGCCUCCUCGGAGAUACAGUACACUAUACACUGUACAGUGCAUAGUACACACCACUGAUUACUCUGCAAAGAUGUGUAAUUCUGGAUGAUUUGCAGACAUACUUCUAAUGGUUUUACAAUGGAGAAGAGGCACAAGAAUGUGGAAUAUGUGACCCAUGUACAUGAAGAUAUUCCUGGUUCACUCAAAAGUACGAUUUUGAGAAGCCCACCUAGAGUCAGAAGGCCCUUGAAAGAUGCAGACCCUCAACUUUGGACUUCCCAGCCUCUAGAACUGUAAG